rnacentral:rRNA from 1 species
GACGAACGCUGGCGGCGUGCUUAACACAUGCAAGUCGAACGGUAAGGCCCUUCGGGGUACACGAGUGGCGAACGGGUGAGUAACACGUGGGUGAUCUGCCCUGCACUUCGGGAUAAGCCUGGGAAACUGGGUCUAAUACCGGAUAGGACCACUGCCUGCAUGGGUGGUGGUGGAAAGCUUUUGCGGUGUGGGAUGGGCCCGCGGCCUAUCAGCUUGUUGGGGGGGUGAUGGCCUACCAAGGCGACGACGGGUAGCCGGGCUGGGAGGGGGACCGGCCACCCUGGGACUGGAAUACGGCCCAGACUCCUACGGGAGGCAGGAGUGGGGAAGAUUGCACAAUGGGCGCAAGCCUGAUGCAGCGACGCCGCGUGAGGGAUGACGGCCUUCGGGUUGUAAACCUCCUUCAGCACCGACGAAGCGCAAGUGACGGUAGGUGCAGAAGAAGGACCGGCCAACUACGUGCCAGCCGCCGCCGUAACAC